UGUAGGGGGGGGGGGGCAAAUGUGUGUAGAUGACCACUGAGUUACUUUAGAAGGCUUGAGCACAGUCUUGUUAAGGACAUGCACUUCGUAUAGCCUGGGAUUUAGAAGACAGUUAAUAAGCUUGGGGGUAUUUGGGGCAGGACUGUUCUACCCAAGAUAGGGUACAGGAAGUGGAAAGAUACCUAGAAAAACAGGGAAUUGUUGUUUUUUGUUUGUUUUUUAUUUUUGUAGCUAGGAAAGGUGGAGUGAGCACCUGACAAAGGUAGCCUGUUCAUGCUGUGUGUGGUGGGGGGGGUCAGGAGGGGGAGGGGUGGGAGGAACAAGUUGAGAACCUGUUGGUUAAUUUUUUUGGGGGGUGGUGGGAAGUGAGAUGCUGUGAUUGAUGUUUUCAGUUAGUGCCCUUGAUGAUCCAGAAGGAUUGUAGUGAGGGCAGGCCAGGAAGCCUGCAGCUGCAAGCCUGGUGGAAGGAAGACAGCUCUGGGAGAAAGAAGUUCACCAGCAGACUUCACAGGAGAGGAUGAUGGGCUUUGUUGAUAGAUUGCUUUGAGAUAAAAGACCAAGAAGAGUCAAGGAUGACUAAAGUUUGUUAAGCAGAACUUACCAGUGUUGCUCUUUAACUGCUCAGAUGCUAGAAAGAGUUUGUUUUUGAAAUUUACAAAAACCCUUUUAAUGAAAGGCGGCGUUAGUGUCAGUGUAUUCAUAAAUAUAUGAGCUGGAAGGACUGUUUACUUUUUUUCACCUCUCAUGCUGUUAAUUCUAAGUUACAUCUUUAUUUUUAUUUUUUUUUUUUAGAUUUUAUUUCUUUCUUAAUGAGAAACAUAGGAGGAGAGAGAAAGAACCAGGCAUCACCCUGGUACAUGUGCUGCCGGGGAUUGAACUCAGGACCUCAUACUUGAGAGACUGAUGCUUUAUCCACUGCGCCACCUCCCGGACCACACAUCUUUAUUUUCAAGAUGAAACUGGGUUGAGAGUUUAUUUAUUUCUUUUUUAUGGUUGUUGUAGUUAUUAUUACUGUUAUUGAUGUUGUUGGGUAGGACAGAGAAGUGAAGAGAGUAGAGGAAGACAGAGGGGGAGAGAAAGCUAGACACCUGCACACCUGCUUCACCACCUGUGAAGCGAUUCCCCUGCAGGUGGAGAGCUGGGGGCUCAAACCGGGAUCCUUCCGCCGGUCCUUGCGCUUCGCUCCACAUGCGCUUAACCUGCUGGGCUACCGCCCGAGUCCCCAAAGGCUGAGAGUUUAAAAAUAUGCUCUGAGGGUCAGCAAGAUAGCUCAUUUGGAUGGGGCACUUGAUUCGGCUUGCAGAUGACUUGGGUUUAAAAACAAAAAAAGGAGCUCUCACUAUGCUGGUGAGAGCUUCUGUGCUGUGCUCAUUUUCCAUCUCUGUCUGUCUCUGAAAAUGUGGGAGCUGGAGUGAUGAAGCUUAGUGACAACAAAAAUAUAAGUGGAAGCAUACUUUGUAGACAAUAACUACAAGAAUAAGAGGAGUGACAUUAAACUGACUAGACUCCUAAUUUUUCAACUCUGUUCUGAGGCUAGUUUUUCUACCUGUU